GAUGAACGCUAGCUACAGGCUUAACACAUGCAAGUCGAGGGGCAGCGCAGUGUAGCAAUACACGGGCGGCGACCGGCGCACGGGUGCGUAACGCGUAUCCAACCUUCCCGUUACUCUUGGAUAGCCUUCCGAAAGGGAGAUUAAUACAAGAUGGUAUUCAAAUUCCGCAUGUUAUUUGAAUUAAAGAUUUAUCGGUAACGGAUGGGGAUGCGUGACAUUAGAUAGUAGGCGGGGUAACGGCCCACCAAGGCGACGAUGCGUAGGGGUUCUGAGAGGAAGGUCCCCCANACUGGUACUGAGACACGGACCAGACUCCUACGGGAGGCAGCAGUGAGGAAUAUUGGUCAAUGGGCGAGAGCCUGAACCAGCCCAAGUCGCGUGAGGGAAGACGGUCCUACGGAUUGUAAACUGCUUUUAUAAGGGAUAAAGUUAGUCUCGUGAGACUUUUUGCAUGUACCUUAUGAAUAAGGACCGGCUAAUUCCGUG
rnacentral:rRNA from 1 species